rnacentral:rRNA from 1 species
AAUCAACGCUGGCGGCGUGCCUAACACAUGCAAGUCGAACGAGAAAGCGGGGGCAACCCUGUGAGUACAGUGGCAGACGGGUGAGUAACACGUGAACAACCUACCCUUGAGUGGGGAAUAACACCGCGAAAGCGGUGCUAAUACCGCAUAACAUCUUGAAUCUGCAUGGAUUUGAGAUCAAAAGCGCAAGUUGCUUGAGGAGGGGUUCGCGGCUGAUUAGCUAGUUGGUGAGGUAACGGCCCACCAAGGCAACGAUCAGUAGCCGGCCUGAGAGGGCGAACGGCCACACUGGAACUGAGACACGGUCCAGACUCCUACGGGAGGCAGCAGUGGGGAAUUUUGCGCAAUGGGCGAAAGCCUGACGCAGCAACGCCGCGUGGAGGAUGAAGGCCUUCGGGUCGUAAACUCCUGUCGAUGGGGACGAAAGCCUAGCAAUAGGAUUGACUGUACCCGUUGAGGAAGCCACGGCUAACUCCGUGCCAG